AUGUCAUACUCACCUGUGGAGUUAGUAUGCAGGAAUGUACGUGGCCUUAAUAGUCCAGGUAGGAGGGAUGCGUUGAGGGAGUUAGCGGAUUCUAUGCAUGUUUCGAUCUGGUGCAUCCUAGAGACUAAACUAGAGCAUGUAGACCAAUAUGUGAUUAUGCAAUGUUUAGGGCCAUCUUAUGAUGUUUUUGCGUACUUGCCGGCUUCGGCCACUCGAGGUGGCAUCAUC
rnacentral:rRNA from 1 species